GUGAUAUUUUUGAAGGUAGAUUUAUUAUUAAACUUACUGCAUGCAUACUAUAAUAACUGAAAAAUUAUUAGUUACAUUAGGAAUAUAUAUUUUCAUGAUAUUCAAUUAUCUCAUUUCUAAACCAGUUAAUUAACAUGUUCUGAUUCGCCCUAAUUUAACUCGUACUUUGGGAUUCAAAUGAUAUAGAAAUUGUAUGAAAUUCUGUCAAUUAUUUUGUUUUAUUUGUGUUGUCAUUUUAAGCCAAGAUCCCUACAUGACCUUAAUCUCUCAGAUUACAAAAGGUAUUUCAUCACAACGUAUUUGUUAACAAAGGAACAUAUGUCAAUAUUUGAGAUUUAAUCUAUUGUUAUUCAAAUAGAUCUACACGUAAAAGGCAAAGUAGGGAUCUAUCAACAUAAGUAUACUGUCAAAGUAAAUUUAUAACUUAAUUUUUGUCAAUAAUCAUUGGAUUUGUUUUUUUAUAGAAUGACACUAAUGUUUGAUGACAAUUAGCUGAUAACAAUGCAUAUAUUUGUAUACAUGAAAAACAGUCGACAGAAAAAACAUUUGGACAUAAAAGAAUGAUGAGGACAUCAAAUUAAGUUUCAAGGGGAAAAGACAAGUUGAACCUCAAAACAAGUUUUUACAUGAUUAUUUGACACAGUGUCUUCGUAGAUGAAAAUAAUCAGGAUCCAGUGGUGAACGUUUAGUAUAUCAGAAAUAUUCACAUGGAGGAGUAUAUCUCCAAAUUUAAUACUUUUAAG